rnacentral:tRNA from 1 species
AAUGAAUUGCCUGAGAAAAAGGGUUACCUUGAUAGGGUAAAUUAUGUAAGAAAAUUACAUUCAUUA